UAUCGAUUAGUUCGGUAAAUCGAGUUAAAUUCGAUCACGAAUCAACGCCGUGUAAUAACAACAAAGGUGUUGUGUUACUGACGAUUUAUAGUGUUUGUGAAAUAUGAGAAAACGUGAAAUUAUUCUCUCUCGGCUGUUGGAUGUCAUGGAUUGCAAAGAUUACUUGCGAACAUGUAACCUUAACCUGCCGUAGAUGUAUUGAAGAGGACUGUAUUCGGUGUGCCUUGGAGUCUGAUGAGUUAGUUCUGUUUUGUUACAGUACUCGUGCCUGGCAGUCCGAUAAGCUGUACACUGCCGGCGAACACAAUGUCGUGGGGCCGCCGUUCUUGCAGUAAAUUGUACGGUGCCUUGAAUGAGAGUCACUCCUACCGCUACCUUCGCACGGUGCCCUAAAUGGGAGUCUUUAUGGAUCCUUUGUUGGAUGAAGAAUUGGCUAAUCUGAGAUGGCCAACUUUAUCAAUAAGGACCAAGUGGAGAGGUUCCGUGGUACUGGUAGAGUGCGUAUUCAGGAAGAUGAAUGUUUCAACUGGACUAGAUACCAAGAAUUGUCCAAGAAAUUGAGGAUUGGAUUGCUGGUGAUGAUGAUGAUUCCAAAUACGAUUGAAUGAAUUUACAUAAUUUUGUAGCUGUUAUUGAUAUCAUUUUUGUUUAUUUUGUUAAAAGUUAUAAACAGAGCAUUAUAUAGUUAUAUUAUUAUCCUGUUUUCUUGCUUGUAUUGUUAAAAAUGUUGUAUAUAUUAAGAAAUUGAGUUUCUAAUUCUACAUGUUUGAAUAAAAUUGUUUUUUUUAUAAA